GUGAAGCGGCAACAGCUCAAAUUUGAAAUCUGGCUUCGGCCCGAGUUGUAAUUUGUAGAGGAAGAUUUAGGCGCGGCACCUUCUGAGUCCCCUGGAACGGGGCGCCAUAGAGGGUGAGAGCCCCGUAUAGUUGGAUGCCUAGCCUGUGUAAAUCUCCUUCGACGAGUCGAGUAGUUUGGGAAUGCUGCUCAAAAUGGGAGGUAAAUUUCUUCUAAAGCUAAAUAUUGGCCAGAGACCGAUAGCGCACAAGUAGAGUGAUCGAAAGAUGAAAAGCACUUUGAAAAGAGGGUUAAAUAGCACGUGAAAUUGUUGAAAGGGAAGCGCUUGUGACCAGACUUGCGCCGGGCGGAUCAUCCGGUGUUCUCACCGGUGCACUCCGCCCGGCUCAGGCCAGCAUCGGUUCUCGUGGGGGGAUAAAGGCCCUGGGAACGUAGCUCCUCCGGGAGUGUUAUAGCCCAGGGUGUAAUGCCCUCGCGGGGACCGAGGUUCGCGCAUCUGCAAGGAUGCUGGCGUAAUGGUCAUCAGCGACCCGUCUUGAAACACGGACCAAGGAGUCAAGGUUUUGCGCGAGUGUUUGGGUGUAAAACCCGCACGCGUAAUGAAAGUGAACGUAGGUGAGAGCUUCGGCGCAUCAUCGACCGAUCCUGAUGUAUUCGGAUGGAUUUGAGUAGGAGCGUUAAGCCUUGGACCCGAAAGAUGGUGAACUAUGCUUGGAUAGGGUGAAGCCAGAGGAAACUCUGGUGGAGGCUCGCAGCGGUUCUGACGUGCAAAUCGAUCGUCAAAUCUGAGCAUGGGG
rnacentral:rRNA from 1 species